rnacentral:rRNA from 1 species
CUGUGUGUUGUUGGGUAGGGGAGCGUUCUGUAAGCCUGUGAAGGUGGCCUGUGAGGGUUGCUGGAGGUAUCAGAAGUGCGAAUGCUGACAUAAGUAACGAUAAAGCGGGUGAAAAGCCCGCUCGCCGGAAGACCAAGGGUUCCUGUCCAACGUUAAUCGGGGCAGGGUGAGUCGACCCCUAAGGCGAGGCCGAAAGGCGUAGUCGAUGGGAAACGGGUUAAUAUUCCCGUACUUGGUGUUACUGCGAAGGGGGGACGGAGAAGGCUAUGUUGGCCGGGCGACGGUUGUCCCGGUUUAAGCGUGUAGGUGUGUGUUCCAGGUAAAUCCGGUUCACUUUAACACUGAGGCGUGACGACGAGGCACUACGGUGCUGAAGCAACAAAUGCCCUGCUUCCAGGAAAAGCCUCUAAGCAUCAGGUAACAUCAAAUCGUACCCCAAACCGACACAGGUGGUCAGGUAGAGAAUACCAAGGCGCUUGAGAGAACUCGGGUGAAGGAACUAGGCAAAAUGGUGCCGUAACUUCGGGAGAAGGCACGCUGACACGUAGGUGAAGUGAUUUACUCAUGGAGCUGAAGUCAGUCGAAGAUACCAGCUGGCUGCAACUGUUUAUUAAAAACACAGCACUGUGCAAACACGAAAGUGGACGUAUACGGUGUGACGCCUGCCCGGUGCCGGAAGGUUAAUUGAUGGGGUCAGCGCAAGCGAAGCUCCUGAUCGAAGCCCCGGUAAACGGCGGCCGUAACUAUAACGGUCCUAAGGUAGCGAAAUUCCUUGUCGGGUAAGUUCCGACCUGCACGAAUGGCGUAAUGAUGGCCAGGCUGUCUCCACCCGAGACUCAGUGAAAUUGAACUCGCUGUGAAGAUGCAGUGUACCCGCGGCAAGACGGAAAGACCCCGUGAACCUUUACUAUAGCUUGACACUGAACAUUGAGCCUUGAUGUGUAGGAUAGGUGGGAGGCUUUGAAGCGUGGACGCCAGUCUGCGUGGAGCCGACCUUGAAAUACCACCCUUUAAUGUUUGAUGUUCUAACGUGGACCCGUGAUCCGGGUUGCGGACAGUGUCUGGUGGGUAGUUUGACUGGGGCGGUCUCCUCCUAAAGAGUAACGGAGGAGCACGAAGGUUGGCUAAUCCUGGUCGGACAUCAGGAGGUUAGUGCAAUGGCAUAAGCCAGCUUGACUGCGAGCGUGACGGCGCGAGCAGGUGCGAAAGCAGGUCAUAGUGAUCCGGUGGUUCUGAAUGGAAGGGCCAUCGCUCAACGGAUAAAAGGUACUCCGGGGAUAACAGGCUGAUACCGCCCAAGAGUUCAUAUCGACGGCGGUGUUUGGCACCUCGAUGUCGGCUCAUCACAUCCUGGGGCUGAAGUAGGUCCCAAGGGUAUGGCUGUUCGCCAUUUAAAGUGGUACGCGAGCUGGGUUUAGAACGUCGUGAGACAGUUCGGUCCCUAUCUGCCGUGGGCGCUGGAGAACUGAGGGGGGCUGCUCCUAGUACGAGAGGACCGGAGUGGACGCAUCACUGGUGUUCGGGUUGUCAUGCCAAUGGCACUGCCCGGUAGCUAAAUGCGGAAGAGAUAAGUGCUGAAAGCAUCUAAGCACGAAACUUGCCCCGA